GUGUGUCCUGUGGGCAAUGAAGGAGUUGAUCAGUCCGUAAUUGGCCUGGACACGCCCAGCCUCAUGCACUAAUGACCCUGCCUUUGUAAUUAGUGAUACCAAUUACUGGCAGCUGCAGCAGCAUGUGAACGAGGCUUUAAAAACACCAUUUGGGGAAAGUAGAGAAGUAGAGAUUGGAGCAUAAAGGCUGGUGCAUGGACUGAGUAGCUGGCAUAUAACUGCUGCAUGCACUUUAUUCAGGGGCAGUUUGCCCUAAAAUGAAUAAUCAGUCAUCAUUUACUCACCCAUAAUGUCAUUCCAAACAUUGGGGAUCAAAACAACACUGGAUCUCAUUGACUUUUAUUGUACAGAGGGAAAACAAACACUGGGGCAUUUUUUCACAGAAAGAAAGUCAUACAGGUUUUGAACAGGAUGAGUAAAUGGAGCGACUAGGGUCAUAAUGACCUCCUUUUUAUUCUCCUUUAUGACAAAUCCAAACCAAGAACACCUAUGUGACAGCAGUUUGUACUUCAUCGUGAAAUCUCUUCAAUGAAAAGCUCUUCUAUUGUGUGGAAAAGCAUUUCAUUUGUUAAACAAAGAGGAGGGCCACCACAACAUCCUGACCAUAAUGGAGACGGAUGACAGCAACAAUCUUGGACAAUGGGGGACAAAGGAGGAUCCGCUGUCAUCCAGAAUUAUUCAUAUAAGAAGGAUCAGCAGUCAAAG